rnacentral:rRNA from 1 species
CCUACGGGUGGCAGCAGUGGGGAAUAUUGCACAAUGGGGGAAACCCUGAUGCAGCGACGCCGCGUGAGUGAAGAAGUAUUUCGGUAUGUAAAGCUCUAUCAGCAGGGAAGAAAAUGACGGUACCUGAUUAAGAAGCCCCGGCUAACUACGUGCCAGCAGCCGCGGUUAUACGUAGGGGGCAAGCGUUAUCCGGAUUUACUGGGUGUAAAGGGAGCGUAGACGGCAGCACAAGUCUGGAGGGAAAUGCCGGGGGUUAACCCCGGAACUGCUUUGGAAACUGUGCAGCUAGAGUGCAGGAGAGGUAAGUGGAAUUCGUAGUGUAGCGGUGAAAUGCGUAGAUAUUAGGAGGAACACCAGUGGCGAAGGCGGCUUACUGGACUGUAACUGACGUUGAGGCUCGAAAGCGUGGGGAGCAAACAGGAUUAGAUACCCCAGUAGUC